rnacentral:lncRNA from 1 species
CAGAAUAGUGGAUUGGAUCGAUUUGUUGGACGUUCGUUCUCACAAGGACAUUUACCAUCAUGUAUGGGAAAGCCAACACUUGAGUCCCUGGCAGACGAAGAGCUCUGCACUGUGUCCAGAUUCAGAUGCUUUUGGCCAUGAAUUGGGCCUUUCCAGGCCGAGGACAGCAUUGUCCAAACCCCGUUCUCUGAGCAUCAAAGGAGAGCAGGUUCUCUGCAAUAAAAAGAUCGGGGUAGAAAGGUAUGUUUGUCAACCAUUGUCCAUGAAAAGAAACCUUGACAAUAAAGCAGCAAAGGAGGCCAAUGACAGCAUCAGCCUAGGACCAUCCAGCAGACCUGAAGACCAAGCUCUGAGGACAACUCACAGGAAACAUAAUUCAAAAGAUUCUGAAGAUGGAUUUAUGGCUAUUAAAUCAGGAAAACAACAGUUCCUUCAGUCUGAACAAUAUCCAUCUCCAAAGCUCAAGUGGUCUCAAGAGGUAUA